CAGUCGCCGCGGUAAUACGAAGGGGGCUGGCGUUGCUCGGAAUGACUGGGCGUAAAGGGCGCGUAGGCGGUUUUGACAGUCAGAUGUGAAAUUCCUGGGCUUAACCUGGGGGCUGCAUUUGAGACGUCAAGACUAGAGUGUGAGAGAGGGUUGUGGAAUUCCCAGUGUAGAGGUGAAAUUCGUAGAUAUUGGGAAGAACACCGGUGGCGAAGGCGGCAACCUGGCUCAUUACUGACGCUGAGGCGCGAAAGCGUGGGGAGCAAACAGGAUUAGAUACCCCCGUAGUCCCUGUCUCUUAUAC
rnacentral:rRNA from 1 species